AGUCGGAAUCCGCUAAGGAGUGUGUAACAACUCACCUGCCGAAUGAACUAGCCCUGAAAAUGGAUGACGCUUAAGCGGAGUGCCGACACCGACCCGUUUUGGUAAGCAACGACCAAAAUGAGUAGGAGGGCGUGGUGAUUUUGUUCAGAAGGGUUCGACGCAAGUCGGCCUGGAACGGUCACUAGUGCAGAUCUUGGUGGUAGUAGCAAAUAUUUAAGCGUGAUCCUUAAAGGACGAAGCGGGGAAGGGUUCCAUGCGAACAUUGAUUGGGCAUGGGUGAGUCGUUCCUAAGCCAGGUGGAAAUUGUUCUUAGCAAUGGCGAAAGGGAAGUUGGUUAAAAUUCCAACACACGGAUGUGAAGGCGGCGACGCAAAUUGAGAUGGAGACGUUAGCGGUGACACUAGGCAGAGUUUUCUUUUCUGUUUAACCUGUGCUGCACUCUGUGGAAUCCGUUUAUCGGGAGAAACAGGUGCCUAACGGGAAGAGCGUCGGGGGGUCCCCGGCGUCUAGUAUGUCACCGAUAGCCCUUGAAAAUCCAUCUGCAAUCUAAUUUCACGCCGUGGCGUACCGAUAACCGCAGCAGGUCCCCAAGGUGAACAGCCUCUGUCUAAUAUGAACAAUGCAGGUAAGGGAAGUCGGCAAAAUAGACCCGUAACUUUGGGAAAAGGGUUGGCUCUAGUGGGGCGAAGGAACAACUGGCUCGUGUUGAUUCGGUUGGGUGUGUCUGUUCGAGGUAAACUGUGGAAACAUUGUUUCGCCUUGGUCGGAUGCCUCAGCUGAGUUGGCGCGGUCCGACCUUCAUCAUGCUCCAAACUAGAAAUGCAACGGGCAAAGGGAAUCCUUGCAACGGGCAAAGGGAAUCCGACUGUUUAAUUAAAACAAAGCAUUGCGAUGGCCGGGGACGGUGUAGACGCAAUGUGAUUUCUGCUCAGUGCUCUGAAUGUCAAAGUGAAGAGAUUCAAACAAGCGCGGGUAAACAGCGGGAGUAACUAUGACUCUCUUAAGGUAGCCAAAUGCCUCGUCAUCUAAUUAGUGACGCGCAUGAAUGGAUUAACGAGAUUCCUACUGUCCCUAUCUGCUUCUAGCGAAACCACAGCCGGGGGAACGGGCCCGGCAAAAUCGGCGGGGAAAGAAGACCCUGUUGAGCUUGACUCUAUUCUAAUUUUGUGACACAAGUUAGGAGGUGUAGCAUAGGUGGGAGACUUCGGUCGCCAAUGAAAUACCACUACUCUUAAUCUUGGGUUACUUACGACGUCAGACUACACGAUCGUUAUGGUCUAUUUUGGUGUCAACUUGGGAAAGCAUGAAUGAAAAUUUUAAGCUCCUCGGAGUAGCGCGUCGGACACAUUUAGGAGGGGAGUUUGGCUGGGGCGGCACAUCUUCUACAAGACAACGAAGGUGUCCAAAGAUAAGCUCAGUGAGAACAGAAAUCUCACGUAGCGCAAAAGGGUAAAAGCUUGUUUGAUUUUGAUUUUCAGUGUGAGUUAAAAAUACGAAAGUAUGGCCUAUCGAUCCUUUUAUAUUUCGAGGUUUGAAACAAGA
rnacentral:rRNA from 1 species